rnacentral:rRNA from 1 species
GCCUAACACAUGCAAGUCGAACGGUAACAGGAAGAAGCUUGCUUCUUUGCUGACGAGUGGCGGACGGGUGAGUAAUGUCUGGGAAACUGCCUGAUGGAGGGGGAUAACUACUGGAAACGGUAGCUAAUACCGCAUAACGUCGCAAGACCAAAGAGGGGGACCUUCGGGCCUCUUGCCAUCGGAUGUGCCCAGAUGGGAUUAGCUAGUAGGUGGGGUAACGGCUCACCUAGGCGACGAUCCCUAGCUGGUCUGAGAGGAUGACCAGCCACACUGGAACUGAGACACGGUCCAGACUCCUACGGGAGGCAGCAGUGGGGAAUAUUGCACAAUGGGCGCAAGCCUGAUGCAGCCAUGC